rnacentral:lncRNA from 1 species
CCCCGCUGAGUUCCACGCAUGCGCGGUUGUGCUGUGCCCGUGCCCGUUCCGGCCGCAGCCGCUGGGGGCGCUGUUGGCGGGGGCGCGCCUGGGCUCGAGCGUGCGCAAAGCGCUGCUGCUCUGCUCCCCCGCGCCGCCAGGGGGCGCCCUCGCCUGCACCGCGCUGCAGUGGCGCCGCGACCUCACGUGACCCGCCCGGACCACGCCCCCUCCCGCGUCACGUGAUACGGGUAGACCGCGCCCCUCCUGCGUCACGUGACGCGCACAGAGCGCGCCCUUGUCACGUGACGCCGGAGCUUUUCCCGCGCCAAGAGAGAUUUGUAAUAAAAUCCGAAAUUAAGAUGAAAAACGCUUUUUUUGGUGUGUUUUUUGUUUUGUUUUGUGGAUCGCGGGGAGGAUGAGGAAGGGGAGUCGGAGCCUCGGCAUUUUGGGACUUUGGGGUUGAAAUGCCUUUACAUUCUUUGGGAGGGUCGCCCCCAAAUUGGGGCUGCUCCGGUUUCGUUUUGAGGGGAUCCUUCCCCUGUCCCGGGGGGGGAAUCCCCGACUCCUUUUGAGGGGUUCCGUCCCCAAAUUCCCACCCCCGUCUUGGGGAGAAUUCCCAGCCUCGUUUUGGGGCUGUUUCAUCCCCAUUUUGGGGAUGUUUAAUCCUCAUUUUUGGGGUUUUCCAAUCCCCACUUCAGCCCUUCCCCACCCCCAUUUUUGGGGCUGUUUUAUCCUCAUUUUCCAAACUGUCCCAUCCCCAUUCCAAACCCCAUUCCCACCUUCUUCACCCCCAUUUUUGGGGAACUCUCACCCCCUUUUUGGGGCUGUUUUAUCCUCAUUUUCCAAACUGUUCCAUCCCCAUUCCCAUCCCCAUUCCUGCUUCCCCCACCCCCAUUUUUGGGGAAUUCCCACCCCCAUUUUGGGGAUGUUUAAUCCUCAUUUUUGGGGUUUUCCAAUCCCCACUUCAGCCCUUCCCCACCCCCAUUUUUGGGGGAACUCCCACCCCCUUUUUGGGAAUGUUUAAUCCUCAUUUUCCAAACUGUCCCAUCCCCAUUCCCAUCCCCAUUCCCGCUUUCCCCAGCCCCAUUUUUGGGGAACCCCCAUCCUCAUUUUUGGGGCUGGCCCAUCCCCAUU